UCACUCACUCACCCUCCUUCCUUAUCUCGCCACGCGUCUCACACACUCCUCACUCCAUAUUUCACAAAAUCCACUCCCAACGGCCAUCAGCUACACGCUCACCCUCCUACUCACCCUUAUCCUCUCUCACUCAGACUCCCUCACAAAAAACACACUCCCUCACGCUAAUCUGAAACAAACCUCACACUACUCUCACUAUUCACUCUGUCUCUCGCCUCCACUCUCACUCACAAACCCUCAACACUCAGUAAACCCUUCAUCUUCCUCAUCGUCUCAACACCUUCACCCUUCUCAUUGUCGAAACCUCCGUUCCAUCUUCUCAACGAAACCGCCCACAAAAACCUCUGGAAAUCCCCAAAACCCAUCUUCGACCUCUUCAAAACCCAGCCGCCGCUUAACACCACUCAACCUUUAACCUUCACAUAAACCCUUCUUCUUCCUUCCGCCGUCCACCUCAACCACAAAAAUCCGUCUGAAAUCACCUUCAUUCGCCAUCACUAAACUACACCUUCGCCACCUUCAACCCUAAUCGCCGCACCUCACGACCUCUGACCGCGAGCUCGCCACCACCCACCACCACGAAACCCAUUCCUCCGUCAAACCCCUAAACUCGCCCCCUUCACCGUUAACCUUCCGUCGAUCCACUUCCAAACCGCGACUUCAAGUCGACAACCCUCAUCUCACCGCCGUCACCUCCUUGGGUAUCUCCUCCUACCUCAUCUCAACCUAAACACUCUUCUUUCAAACCACCGUUAAACCACAUCUAAUCCACUCAAACAACCCACCACCGAGUAAGCUUUCAUCGCAAUAACACAAAUCCCUGGUCCAGCAAGCGAACUCGUCAAACUUUCUUCCAAGUUUGGCAGGUGUGAUCAGCAAUCGAUUUGGUCCUAAGUGGAUUUACGGCGAUAAACAUUAGAGACGCUUUGAUUCUAUGUGUUAGAUUUGUGUCGCCGGUCUCGCGCGAUCUAUGUACAUUCGACAAGGGUGCUGCGUUCUUUGGUUUAUUUGAUGUUGUUGGUAGUUACUGGUUUUUAUAUCAGUUGGAUUUGGCGUAUAAAAACAACAACAACGUUCCCCAGCUGCCUUAACAACAAACUCAAACAGCACCAUCAACGAUUUGUAGUAACAAAGGACCACGUUUCGAUUUCUUGAGUCCAGCAAGAUUUCGCAACAAUCCUGUAUGUGAUUAUAAGGUACCGCGCUUUAUGAUCCGUUGGGAUUAUAUUGGUAGCUAUGUAAGUAUGAAAAUAGAGUUUUGUAUUAUUGUCUUAUGCUUGCAUGAUUUAGUUAAUGGAUUCGACGACUCAUGUCGAUAUGCCACCAGCAGUUGAAUAAAGUAAUUGAAUAUUUCACCGUGUUUUCAUUUUCGCAUACGACGUUUUAAUGGUCGAUAUGUAUAAACCGGUUCCGAGAACAUCCGCAUCAACACAUAUAGAUUAAAUCAAUAUUAAUGUCUAUUUUCCUUC